GAUGAAGAACGUAGCGAAAUGCGAUAAGUAGUGUGAAUUGCAGAAUUCCGUGAAUCAUCGAAUCUUUGAACGCACAUUGCGCCUUCUGGUAUUCCGGAAGGCAUGCCUGUUCGAGAGUCAUUAACAACCGUUUCGAUCCCUUUCUUUCAGAAAUUACAAAGAGGAAAAGGGUUUGGUUAUGGUGGAGGAGGGAAAGGGAGCGUUUAGCCUGUAAAAAAAGAGGCUGUGUUCCGCCUCCCCCCCAAAAUUGUACAGGCGGUCGUGUGCGCCCACGCAUCGAGGUGUUGUAAAAGCUGCCACGGCACUUUUCACCUGUGCAGUGCGAGAUUGGCCAGCCGGUUUAAAAACCCCUCCAAACAAUCAAAGGUUGACCUCGGAUCAGGUAGGGAUACCCGCUGAACUUAAGCAUAUCAAUAAGCCGGAGGA
rnacentral:misc_RNA from 1 species